UUUUAUAAUUUAAAAAAAAAAAAAAAACUGCACGAAACUACAUUAAACAAGUGCCCGUCGAAAGCAAGACAAGGCCAGCGCCGUUAGGUAGUAAUUGAUUUUAUCAUCAGUAGUGGACCAAACUAUAUUAACUGACGCCCAGUUUACACCGGAGAGUCUACGACGAAAUCAAAUCGGGGACGAUUCAAAACGGCGUCGCUUUUGUCUCUCCUUGAAACUGGGGGCACCCGAAGAGAAGAGAAGUUUCUUCAGGCAAAGUUGAGAGGUCUUAUUACAGUUGCAGAUUCUUCAACCUGUCUUCAAAACCAACAACACAUCUCCAUGUUUUUUUCCUUAAUGUCUCUCACCUAUAUUCUCACUUCUCCAUAAAAGCCAUUAACACAUUACACAUUUCUCUGACUCUCUCUGCAAUUUCUUUCAUCUAACUAAUUACUACUCCAUUACACUAAUUAAUCACCAUGGUUAAUGCCCACACUCUUCGCACUUCUCACUCUAACCCAUGUCUCAAGCAUCUCACUUGCUUUGUCUUUUACUCUUUCCUAAUGCGUCUCUUCAUGGAAUCAUCACUCUCCUUUUCUUUACCUGAAACCCUCGUUUUGCCUCUCAAAACGCAGCUAAUCUCAUCUGGGUCUGUUCCUAGAUCUCCAAGCAAGCUUCCUUUUCACCAUAAUGUAAGCCUCACUGUCUCUCUUACUGUCGGCACCCCUCCGCAGAAUGUGUCCAUGGUUAUCGACACAGGGAGUGAGCUCAGCUGGCUUCAUUGCAACAAAACAGCCACUUACCCAUCUGCUUUUGAUCCGACCCGAUCCACUUCCUAUGGACCCAUCCCAUGUUCUUCUCCAACCUGCACCAACCGGACCCAGGACUUCACUAUACCUGCUUCUUGCGACUCUAACGACUUCUGCCACGCCACGCUUUCCUACGCCGACGCUUCUUCUUCUGAGGGAAACCUGGCGUCUGAUACUUUCAACAUGGGGAGCUUCGACAGUUUGGAUAUGGUUUUUGGUUGCAUGCAUUCUGUUUUUAGUUCUAACACCGAUGAAGACUCCAAGAACACCGGGUUAAUGGGUAUGAACCGUGGGUCACUGUCUUUUGUUUCCCAAAUGGGUUUCCCGAAAUUUUCUUAUUGCAUUUCCGGUACCGAUUUCUCGGGCCUCUUACUUCUCGGCGAAUCCAAUUUUACUUGGAUGUUGCCAUUGAAUUAUACCCCAUUGAUCCAAAUUUCAACCCCAUUGCCGUACUUCGAUCGAGUUGCCUACACAGUUCAGCUUGAAGGAAUUAAGGUGUCCGAUAAGUUGCUUCCGAUACCCAAAUCAGUUUUUGAACCGGAUCAUACUGGGGCAGGUCAAACCAUGGUUGACUCGGGCACCCAGUUCACCUUCUUACUCGGGCCGGCUUACACAGCAUUGCGGACCGAGUUCUUGAACCAAACCACUGGGGUUUUAAGGGUUUUAGAGGAUUCGAAUUUUGUAUUCCAAGGAGCAAUGGAUCUGUGUUACCGGGUCCCGAUAACUCAAAGGGUACUGCCCCGGUUACCGACAGUGAGUUUGGUAUUUCGGGGCGCCGAAAUGACGGUUUCCUAUGAACGGGUCUUAUAUCGAGUUCCGGGUGAAGAGAGGGGAAAUGAUUCGGUGCAUUGCCUAUCCUUUGGUAACUCUGAUUUAUUAGGCGUGGAAGCGUAUGUGAUUGGCCAUCAUCAUCAACAAAACGUGUGGAUGGAAUUUGAUCUUGAAAAUUCAAGGAUCGGCUUGGCUCAGGUACGAUGUGAUUUGGCUGGUAAAAGAUUCGGUGUGGCCCACUGAGGUCCACGCGUUAAAUGAGAUCUCUUAUGAAGAUAACACGUGUGAUUUGUCUUCUUUAGUUUUGAUGGGGGGGGGGCGGGUAGGUUAUAAUGUAGUUUAUUUUCAUGCCAUUAACGUGGUCCUGCAAUUUGGUUCUGCCAACUUUGUUACCCCUACCGCUAAUGCUAGGUGUAAUCAGGACUGAGGAGGUGAUAAUUUUCCUUCCAUUUUGUAUAUUGUUUUGUUUGUGGGUAAAUUAUCGGAGGGAAUAUUGAAAAUAUUGCUAUUCAAAGUAACAACUCGUAUGCUUUUAAGUUUAUAAAUUCCUUUUUAUCAUUG
rnacentral:misc_RNA from 1 species